rnacentral:rRNA from 1 species
GACGAACGCUGGCGGCGUGCCUAACACAUGCAAGUCGAGCGACUGCAUUCUUUUCGGAGGGUGUAUGGAGCGGCGAACGGGUGAGUAACACGUGAGUAAUCUGCCUUUGGCUUGGGAAUAACUUCGGGAAAUCGGGGCUAAUGCCUGAUGUUUACUGUCUGCUGCAUGGUGGGUGGUGGAAAGAUUUUUUGGCCAGGGAUGAGCUCGCGGUCUAUCAGCNGUUGGUGGGGUAAUGGCUUACCAAGGCUUUGACGGGUAGCCGGCCUGAGAGGGCGACCGGCCACACUGGGACUGAGACACGGCCCAGACUCCUACGGGAGGCAGCAGUGGGGAAUCUUGCGCAAUGGGCGAAAGCCUGACGCAGCGACGCCGCGUGAGGGAUGACGGCCU